GCGCCCGUGGCGGAAUUGGCAGACGCGCCGGAUUUAGGUUCCGGUUCUUACGAGUGCAGGUUCAACUCCUGUCGGGCGCACCA
rnacentral:tRNA from 1 species